GAGAAGAGGUUGCCCCCUUCAUCAGUACCGGCCCCGAGGCGAGCAAGCGCUGGACGGGUUGGGAAAGGGACGGGGGCCGAAACGCCGGCUGGCUUGCCCCGGAGGGCGUUGGGUCGUGGUUUAAGAGGCCACGGACUGUCGCGGAGAUCGCGGGGCGCUUCCA
rnacentral:ncRNA from 1 species